CCUGCUCAGUUCAUGUGACCAUGUUUUCAAACAUUAAUGCCGUUUCCUUUGCUAGUCACUUUGUUAGCCGUCCGACGUUAAGAAAGGCUCCUUGGGUUAACAGCGCUCCAGAGCUGGUCACCAGACCACCCUGCAUCCUCAGCGCAGAACGCAGCUUCUUUCUGGCAACACUGUUCCAGCCGUGCCUCGGACCCACGCCUGCAAAUUACGGAAAUGUUUGACAGGGGAAGCGCUGGACUAGCUUUCUGUUCCUGAAGCUGGCCUCCUUCUGCUGCAGGUUGGCCUCCACUACCACUUGGUCAGGUCGACUCUUCAGCAUGAUGGUGAAGCUGUCAGGGGCAACGGAGGGUGAUGGACAGAGUUGAGGGAUGUGGAGAGGCGAAUAUGCCUUAAAGGUCCACAACCGCUGGUACCCUGAGUGUGCUUCCUGCCUACCAGCCUCCUAGCCCUACCUCAUGCUCUGCAUCCAGCGCUGGUCCCAGUCUCCUGCUCUGCAUCCAGCGCUGGUCCCAGCCUCCUACCACAUAUGAUGUGGUCAUUGACCUGAUGGCUAAUCUAGUUAAAGGGAUAGAGCCAUCAGAUCUGUCAUCCGAUCUGAUUGUGAACAUGGUCGUGUUCAUUCUCUACCUGGCUGCAAAGUCUAAUAUUUAUUCAGCCCUGGAAGCCAUUACGUAAGGAGCUGAGGAUGGUCUACUCCUGCCCCUCAGACAAGAUUAUCAGGUCUGUCCACAGACAGCUGAAGAAGAGGCUGGUGUCCCGGGAUGCCCUGAGACAAGCACUGAGUCAAGGCAGUGAGGAGGUGGCUGUUAUCAUAGUCAGCAAUAUCAGCAGUAUCUGGACAUGCUAAGAAACUUAUGGCUCAAUCUCAAGUCCUCCAGUUUUACAGCUCCAUCUGUGAUUUUUUUUAAUGUAUUAUACCAGGACAAUGUCUGCAGACAGUGAUGUCUGCUUAAAAACCUUAGAGCCUGAAAGCACCACUAAUAACACCUGGGGCCUAUUCCAUAAAGGCCGCUCAAAAAAGCUACACUUUAAGUCUUAAACCAGACUUGAAUAAGUUUAA